CAGCAGCCGCGGGAAUACGUAGGGUGCGAGCGUUAAUCGGAAUUACUGGGCGUAAAGCGUGCGCAGGCGGUUUUGUAAGACAGAGGUGAAAUCCCCGGGCUCAACCUGGGAACUGCCUUUGUGACUGCAAGGCUAGAGUACGGCAGAGGGGGAUGGAAUUCCGCGUGUAGCAGUGAAAUGCGUAGAUAUGCGGAGGAACACCGAUGGCGAAGGCAAUCCCCUGGGCCUGUACUGACGCUCAUGCACGAAAGCGUGGGGAGCAAACAGGAUUAGAUACCCCGGUAGUCCCUGUCUCUUAUAC
rnacentral:rRNA from 1 species